rnacentral:rRNA from 1 species
UAGGGAAUCUUCCACAAUGGACGCAAGUCUGAUGGAGCAACGCCGCGUGAGUGAAGAAGGGUUUCGGCUCGUAAAGCUCUGUUGGUAGUGAAGAAAGAUAGAGGUAGUAACUGGCCUUUAUUUGACGGUAAUUACUUAGAAAGUCACGGCUAACUACGUGCCAGCAGCCGCGGUAAUACGUAGGUGGCAAGCAUUGUCCGGAUUUAUUGGGCGUAAAGCGAGUGCAGGCGGUUCAAUAAGUCUGAUGUGAAAGCCUUCGGCUCAACCGGAGAAUUGCAUCAGAAACUGUUGAACUUGAGUGCAGAAGAGGAGAGUGGAACUCCAUGUGUAGCGGUGGAAUGCGUAGAUAUAUGGAAGAACACCAGUGGCGAAGGCGGCUCUCUGGUCUGCAACUGACGCUGAGGCUCGAAAGCAUGGGUAGCGAACAGGAUUAGAUACCCUGGUAGUCCAUGCCGUAAACGAUGAGUGCUAAGUGUUGGGAGGUUUCCGCCUCUCAGUGCUGCAGCUAACGCAUUAAGCACUCCGCCUGGGGAGUACGACCGCAAGGUUG